UGACCAUUGAAUAAAAUCUGACUCAUACAAUCUGCUUUCCUAAGAAUUAAGUCAGAAUAAAUAAAAAGGUUUGUUUCAAAGAGAAACGUAAAAUGAUAGGAAGAUGAACAAGUCUUCACCUAUCAAAUGGAACUGCCCUUUAUACUCUUCAGUUGAGAAGUACUCUCUUACCUGAUACAUACAACUUGAAAGCAUUUAUGGUUGACAGGAAUUAAAAAUCUGUCUUUCUAUUCUUAAAUUGCAGGUAAAAAGAUUAUCUUUUAUCAAAAUGGCAGUAUUUAAAUUAAUGAUUAAUACUUCAUAAAAACUAAAUGUUGCUCUGAUAUAGUUCAUAGGAAUAAUCACUUUUAAAUUGUGCAUCGUGAGGAUACAGAGUUGAAGCUCCUCUUUGUAACCUAUUUUACGAUGUUUUUUUUCAUUAUGUUCCUUUGUGUGUGUAUGUGCUCUCCAAUUUCCUACAAAUCUGGCAACAGGAUAUAUUUUUGCCUUGUGCAGUUAUUAUUAUAUACAUUAUUUUAAAAUGCAUAUGUUCUCUUUUCAUGCACUACAGAAAAUACUGAUAGCUCUUCUAAGUGUUUCUCUAUUUGAACCAUUCCUGUGGUCAUCCAUUAUGAGAAUAUUAGUAUAGCACUGGAAUAUCCUUAAUUUACUAAUCACUAUAUUUCUCCCCUUUGCCAAAACUGUUUUCUUUCUUUCACUAUUUGAAAAUGUAGUGACUCAAUACAUCACAUCAAUUAUACAUGAACACCUGUGUGGGGUGAGUAUCUUGAGUUUCUAUGUGAAAUAUAUAGACAUUUUGGCAUAGCCCUUUGGAGUUUAUGAAGACUGAAUUAGCUGACGUCAUUGCUCUAAUUUUAAUAUUGACUGUAGCUCUCUCUCAUUACUGGACUUAUUUCAUCUCUGGGGAACAUUCUGCAUCCUUAAAGGAACAUUGCACAUCACUGUCAGCUGGUUUUAGUUACUCCAUAUAUUUGAAUGAUGGUAUAUUAGAUUCUAAGAAAGAUAAUUUAGAUUGAUCUAGUUUCUGCUUCUGGACACUUAUAAAUUAAUCCACAAUAAAAUGAAAAGGUGUUUUUAAUUCAUCAGUCAAUAUGAGUAUGAACACUUUCGUGUAAAACUUUGUAAAAGUUAAAGAACUCAGUUACUACCAUCCAUGUAGUUUUGCAAACAGUACAUAUUAAUAUGGAACAUAUAAAAAAGAACAAUAAGUGGCUAGGGUUAUUUUAGCACCAUUCUGAAUUUCGAAGGAAGUAAAAACGAGCUUGGCAGUAAACAUUUGAAACUAACAGCUAAGCUGAAAUAUUUACUACUCUAAUAAGAAUUCUUAUAGUAAGGACAGCAAAAUUGUUCUGUAACUUUUGCAUGAACAUGCUCAAAGCAAGGUCAAUGCAAAACUGAAAUGACAUAAGAGAAGGCAGAAUACCCAGCUGUUGGAAGAUUAGCCUGGUUAGUGUGUCUUAUAAUAACAAAUCUAGUUAUUAUAACUAGUUAAUAUGCUGUAAAAUUUCUAUUUUCAAAGUCAAGUUAUUGAAAUUCCCAUUCCUGAUAUAAUCCUAUCCUUGACAGCACCAAAUCCUGAACCUUCUUUCAAAGAAAUAGCCAAAAACCUGCCUUGGUUUUUCAUGCAAGUAAUGUGUUCCUCUGUGCCUUAUUUUAUUAUCUGUGUGCAUGUGUGCAUGUGCGUUUUUGCGUGUCUGUGCGUUUGAAGGCAUUCUCACAUGUACAUACCCCUGGGCAGGCCAAAGGUAGGUUUCUGCAUGUCUCUUACACUUCAUACAUUGCCUCUCAUUGAGUUCAAAGCUCUCAGAUUAAUCUUUCUACAGCAAGCCUGCAGAAGCUGCCUGCCUUUGCUUUCUCAGCAUCAGGGAAGAUGCCCACGGCUGUGCUUGCCUUUCAUGUGGACAUUGGGCAAUCCAAAGGCACAUCUUCAUGCUUGAGCAGUAAACAUCCACUGAGGCAAAUUCCCAGACCAAUAGACCUGAUUUGAUUCAACACAUUCUUUCUUUUCAUAACUAAACUCAACAGCUCAUCUGUCGAAUCAUAUCCUCCUUAAGCACAGAAAACUAAAUAAAGUCAAAAUACUUCACUGUCUGAAGAGCCUUUCCCGUAUGGUGUUUCUCAACAAUUAUUAUGAUUCACUUCCCAUUAAUUUUUUUCAUUUUAUGCUGGAAUUAUAGUUAAGUAAAUGACAAAUAUCAUUCCAAAUACUAUUACCUUACAUAGAACAUAUAUAUUUAAAAUUUUCAACUAUUGCAAUGGCAAUAUUGGUUUUCUAAAUGUACCAAUUGGCUCUAUUUCCUGUAAGUUGAAAAUUUGCGACCAAAUAAGCAAUAUAAUGGGAUGGUCACUGUCAUUCAUUUGAAAUAUUUUAAAUGGCACAAACUUGAUUUAUAUUGUCUCCAGCUCAUAGGAAUUAACUGUCUAGUUUAUAAUCAAAUCGGCAUGGGAAUUGAUUCUUUGGUUUAUAAUCAGUCUAAGCACUUUCAGUAGGCUACAUAAAAACAUUUAUAUGUAAAUGCUAAAGCUAGAAAUAAUAUUCAUAUGGUCAUUAUGUAUACUUGUGUCAGAAUCUGCUUUAAGGAAAGGAUUGGGAAAAUCUAAUAAAACUAAUCUAAUACAAUGCAAAUUGCUUAGAAAUUGCAAUAGUUUCAGACACAUCUCUCGUAGUUUAUCCUAAUGCUCUUUAUUCUGCACCACUGCAUUCUAGUAUGGUCUUUCUGUUUGCCUUGCUUUUUCUAGAAGUAACUGGCACAGGUGUGCUCCUAAUUCAGGGCUUCAUGUCAUCAGUUCCUCAGCACUAUAUGUAAGGUCAUCCAAGCUGAUUUUACCACUGUCUUCAUCUUCCCAGCAUCUCCUCGACUUACUUGGCUUGCAUAGUAACUGCCCCUCAUUGUCACGUUGCCUGCAGAGAUUACUUCUGUUCACGUCCUUUCACUGACAUCUAGAAGAGCUUUUGUAAGGUAAAGGAUUUUAUAGUGGUGAUGGUGUGAGGUUGUGGUGGUCAUGAAAACUGGGGACAAGUAGGUUUGCUACGGUUUUGUUCUUUUGGUAUUUCUUUGUAUGGCCUGGACCCUAAACCAUGGCUGCUAUAUAUGAACAACCAACACAUCAUUGAGUAAUAAAUAAAAGCAGAAUGCAAUGAGGCAUAUUAGAACAGUGGAGUUCAAGGUUCAGCAUUCUAAGGUUUUAUGUAAUUAUACCUCCCACACAAUUCCUAGUUCAAGUUUUAAUACCAUUCC
rnacentral:lncRNA from 1 species